UACGUAGGGGGCUAGCGUUGUCCGGAAUCAUUGGGCGUAAAGAGCGUGUAGGCGGCUCGAUAAGUCCGCUGUGAAAGUCCAGGGCUCAACCCUGGGGAUGCCGGUGAUACUGUCGGGCUCGAGUCCGGAAGAGGCGAGUGGAAUUCCUGGUGUAGCGGUGAAAUGCGCAGAUAUCAGGAGGAACACCGGUGGCGAAGGCGGGUCUCUGGCCGAUACUGACGCUGAGGAGCGAAAGCGUGGGGAGCGAACAGG
rnacentral:rRNA from 1 species